UGAGCAAAGACCAUGGGGCUGUGAGCGAAGUCAUGUUGCUCCCACCCUCCCCCGUGAAGAUAGACCCAGUAACGCUUUUAGUCACAAUUCCAUUUUUCUGGCCUGGGCCUCCUCCAUUGUCAGAGUUAGGCCCAGCGCAAAUUGGAGGAACAGCACCUCAUAUUUCGCUUGGGCAGCUUACACCUCAGCGAUUGUCAGUCUGAAGAAGCAUUUAUCUAUCCGUACUGUGCCUACAGUACCUGUAGACCUUUGGACUUCAACAAGACUUUAUAUCUUGUGUUAAAUGCUAUAUCCUUUAUCUAUGGAGCUUGGAGUGCAAAGGAUCCCACUAUCUUUGCCAUGCCCUCAUCUUGCUGCUACCGUUGGGCAGGAGGUACAGAAGCCUCAACAUCAGCACCAGAAUGUCUGAAGAAGGGUCCAGACCUGAAAC